UAAGUUACAGUUCGUUUGCUUUCCAGAAGAGAGUCUGGCAGACGUAUAGAGAGGUGUCUUAUAAGUAUUUUUCCCAUGCCUAUAAAAUGUGUCUAGAGAAAAAGUUAUACAGAGUUCAAGAGAGGCUGGUUUGAAAAGGUGGAAGGAAGGAAACGUUCUACUAACUAGAGACCCCUUGGUGCAAAUUAUCUCUGAGGCAUGACAACAGCAGGGAGGAGGGGUGUGUAAUAAUUUGGCCUUGAAAGUAGCUUAUCUGGUUGAGCAGUUUGAACAAAGGAGCUGUUUGAAUUAGAGGAGCCAACGAUCUUGGGAUUUAAUUAGCAGGCCCUUCUCUUAAAUUCUCGAAGGCAGACCUUUUUCUUUUCCUUCCAAAUGCCUCCACCUCAUUUAGAACCUAAGGCUUUAUUGACCUGAUGAGUGACAACUUCUAGGAGAUGAAAUAAAGGGACACCAGCAAUAGUGGGAACAUUGUGUUCAGGAGGAUGUCAGCAAUGGGUCACAGAGAGAAUAAACCACUCAUUGAAUUUUCUCCUCAAUCCAUAGGAGAAAAUAAUUUUUCUCUGUUCUAACCACAGUACGGACAAAAGUGAUGGCAGAAACUAAACUUAGCAAGCUCAGGGAGCCCAGAAUGGCAUGGUUAACCUUACAAACACAGACGCCAAAAGUAACCCUAUAGGAUGGUUUGAAGUUAAAACUUUCUAAGUCAAUGUUUGGACAUUUCUUACAACAUCACCAAAAGCAAUUGCCUUGUGUGAAAUGGAAGAACCUUACAUGGAGGGGUAUCAGCAUUUUUAGCUACUCAACUGAUUGAAGACAGAUUUAUAAACAUAAACGUAGAGCAGACCCAGAACCCAGCAAGCUAGAGCUUUCCAGUUGCUUUCAGAGAACAGAAGGAAAUGCUCAAGCCUUAGGUGACUUUGUUUUUACUCUGUACGUGCAUGUGUG